rnacentral:rRNA from 1 species
UGAAGGAACGCAGUCUAUGUUAUUGACGCCUGGUGAAAGGGUGAGCCUUUACUGGGACUUCGAUGCCAAAGCGGUGGAAUCGAUCGGGAUCGAAAAAGAUAGCUUUUCCACGUAUAUGCUUGAGGCGCAGAAAGGCAGGCAGACAGAUCGUACGGAGAAACGACUUCGGCGAUGUGACCUUGAAAAAGCAUUCGAGAUGAUCGACUUGGACCGUACCG